rnacentral:rRNA from 1 species
AGUGAACGCUGGCGGUAGGCCUAACACAUGCAAGUCGAACGGCAGCACAGUAAGAGCUUGCUCUUACGGGUGGCGAGUGGCGGACGGGUGAGGAAUACAUCGGAAUCUACUUUUUCGUGGGGGAUAACGUAGGGAAACUUACGCUAAUACCGCAUACGACCUACGGGUGAAAGCAGGGGAUCUUCGGACCUUGCGCGAUUGAAUGAGCCGAUGUCGGAUUAGCUAGUUGGCGGGGUAAAGGCCCCCAAGGCGACGAUCCGUAGCUGGUCUGAGAGGAUGAUCAGCCACACUGGAACUGAGACACGGUCCAGACUCCUACGGGAGGCAGCAGUGGGGAAUAUUGGACAAUGGGCGCAGGCCUGAUCCAGCCAUACCGCGUGGGUGAAGAAGGCCUUCGGGUUGUAAAGCCCUUUUGUUGGGAAAGAAAAGCAGCAGGUUAAUACCCCGCUGUUCUGACGGUACCCAAAGAAUAAGCACCGGCUAACUUCGUG